rnacentral:rRNA from 1 species
GACAGAGGGUGCAAACGUUGCUCGGAAUCACUGGGCGUAAAGGGCGUGUAGGCGGGACAGUAAGUCGGGCGUGAAAUCCCUGGGCUCAACCCAGGAACUGCACUCGAAACUACUAUUCUUGAGUGUCGGAGAGGAAAGCGGAAUUCCUGGUGUAGAGGUGAAAUUCGUAGAUAUCAGGAGGAACACCAGUGGCGAAGGCGGCUUUCUGGACGAUAA